UGUUUCAAUUAGGGGGCGUUUUGGAUUGACGUAUUUGUAGAUUCAACAUAAGUCAAGUGUAGUAGUGUUUGAGUUUUUCUGAAGUAUGAUUAUUUUUUUGUUGUUUGUUUUGACGUAAUUCGUACCGCCUGAAAGUUAAAUUUAAUUACUUCUGUUGUUUGUUUUGAUGUAACUGGUAAAAUUAGUUUUUUGAAUUCCGUUGUUUGUUUUGAUGUAAGUAAGUGGAUCUCAUUAUCUCCUAAAUAUAGUAGUAAAUUUACCAUUAUAAAAUUUAAUCUAUUAUAUAAUUAAUUUUUUAUUAUUAUUUA
rnacentral:lncRNA from 1 species